rnacentral:lncRNA from 1 species
UGCAGAUUUUCUAUUUUGCAGGUAAUGAAAAAUGUUUAAAGGAAAAACAUAUGACACAAAUUAAAACGUAAAUAAUGUAUUCUGAUAUACUAAUUUCUGGUAAAUAUCUAAAGGACAUUUAGGUUUAUAUUUUUUUUUUCGAUUUUAGAAUAAACGGGGCCACGAAGCAAGACUAACAGGUUAAUUGUCAGAUAUGCUUCU